rnacentral:misc_RNA from 1 species
GAUGAAGAACGCAGCGAAAUGCGAUAAGUAAUGUGAAUUGCAGAAUCCAGUGAAUCAUCGAAUCUUUGAACGCACAUUGCGCCCGCCAGCAUUCUGGCGGGCAUGCCUGUUCGAGCGUCAUUUCAACCCUCGACCUCCCCUUGGGGAGGUCGGCGUUGGGGACCGGCAGCACACCGCCGGCCCUGAAAUGGAGUGGCGGCCCGUCCGCGGCGACCUCUGCGCAGUAAUACAGCUCGCACCGGGACCCCGACGCGGCCACGCCGUAAAACACCCAACUUCUGAACGUUGACCUCGAAUCAGGUAGGACUGCCCGCUGAACUUAAGCAUAUCAAUAAGCGGAGGA